rnacentral:rRNA from 1 species
UGUUAGCUUGCUAACAGGCGUCGAGUGGCGGGACGGGUGAGUAACGCGUAAGGAAUCCUAACCAAAUAGGCGGGGGAUAGCCCGGAAGAAAUCCGGAUUAAUACCGCAUAAUCUCUACGGAGUAAAGAGGGCCUCUUAUUUAUAAGUCUUUCACUUAUUUGAUGAGCCUGCGUAAGAUUAGCUUGUUGGUGAGGUAAAAGCUCACCAAGGCGACGAUCUUUAGCUGGUCUGAGAGGAUGAUCAGCCACACUGGGACUGAGACACGGCCCAGACUCC